rnacentral:rRNA from 1 species
GAUCCUGGCUCAGGAUGAACGCUAGCUACAGGCUUAACACAUGCAAGUCGAGGGGAAACGACAUCGAAAGCUUGCUUUUGAUGGGCGUCGACCGGCGCACGGGUGAGUAACGCGUAUCCAACCUGCCCAUCACUUGGGAAUAACCUUGCGAAAGUAAGACUAAUGCCCAAUGAUAUCUCUAGAAGACAUCUGAAAGAGAUUAAAGAUUUAACGGUGAUGGAUGGGGAUGCGU